CAGCCGUAAACUAAUGCUCGCUAGGUGUCAGGCAUGGCGCGACCGUGUCUGGUGCCGCAGGGAAGCCGUGAAGCGAGCCACCUGGGAAGUACGGCCGCAAGGCUGAAACUUAAAGGAAUUGGCGGGGGAGCACAACAACGGGUGGAGCCUGCGGUUUAAUUGGACUCAACGCCGGGAAGCUCACCGGAUAAGACAGCGGAAUGAUUGCCGGGCUGAAGACUCUGCAUGACUAGCUGAGAGGUGGUGCAUGGCGUAGACGUCU
rnacentral:rRNA from 1 species